rnacentral:tRNA from 1 species
GGAGAGGUGUCAGAGUGGUCUAUCGUGCUGCACUCGAAAUGCAGUGAACCGCAAGGUUCCGUGGGUUCGAAUCCCACCCUCUCCG